rnacentral:rRNA from 1 species
UACGUAGGGGGCAAGCGUUGUCCGGAUUUAUUGGGCGUAAGGCGCUCGCAGGUGGUUCGUUGCGUCGUGCGUGAAAGACCCCGGCUCAACUGGGGGAUGUCGUGCGAUACGGGCGGACUGGAGGCCAGUAGGGGGAUGCGGAAUUCCGGGUGUAGUGGUGGAAUGCGUAGAGAUCGGCAGGAACACCCAGGGAGAAAUCAGCCGCCUGGGCAAGUGGCUGACGCUGAGGUGCGAAAGCGUGGGGAGCGAACCGG